CAAAGGAGAGUUAGAGAUGGUGGCGUACACUUUUUAGGAGGAGGUAACAGCGUAGGUAGGGAGCGCGCGGACGGUGGUGACAAGGGACGGUGGUAGACGGCGGCCGACCAAUCGCCGCCGAGAGGUGCGGGUACCGGAGACAAGAGAACUUCGGUCGCCGUCGCGACACAGGCGUAGUAGGCGCUAGAAGGAACCGCUCGCUGCAGGCGGAGGUCAAACGGGGAAGGAGGGCCACAUGGUUCGGCGUGUAGCUGCGCGGGUACAGGCGUGUGCAACACGCACGAGACCGGGUACAAGAUGGGUCCCCACGGAGGAGGACGAGACCUCAUCCGACGACGGUGCAAGGGAGGUGUACCAACGUAGGCACGUGAGCCUCCGCUACUGAGACAUAAAAAAGAGUACGAUACAACCAGCUCCUCAUGAACUGUUUCCAGACGUAGUUCUCUAACCUCAAUCGGUGUUCUUGAACUUUAACUAAGAUUGUUCCGACUACGUGGGAUACCGUACCACUUACGUGGAUGUGUGUGGUAGGUCCGAUAACUUAAGAGAUUUUUCUAUUGAACAACAAGGGUUCUUGGACCAAUUUCACUAGAUACAGUUAACCUCUAAAGUGUUCCUUAGCCACUUAAAGUCCUAGCUGACUCGUGCCUCACUGCGUCUCUCCCGUUGUUCCGUAUACUUCGUUGUUGUUCGGUCGUUCGAUCGUAUGUGUACUCUAUACCCAAACUAAACACUCACUAAGCUGUACAUAACGGGAAGUAUAACACGUCACUCAUUCCAUGUUAAUUAAGGAAUACCAUCAACCCUCGGGUUUCCAUCAAGGCUGUUGUCUGUACUCCAUCCUCUGGCUAGGGUGCCAGAAGGGGUGACGGGUUACAAAGUCUAGUUAUGGAAGUAUAUCGUCGUUAUACUUUUAUAGAUUUGUACGACAAAGUAUAUAACCACGAUCGUUCGCAUCCAUAGACAUAAUAGUUAUCAACGUAGACAUGAAACAUAUUAAUCAGUUAUAAAAGUAUAAAACCAAUAUAGUUAUACCACUUAUUUCGUACAACAAAAUACUUUUAAUCUAUCGACGAAAACGUGAAGUAUAGAUUCCCACAACAAGCUUACGAUUAUCAAAAUGUGAAAAUGAUUGAUAUAUAAACAAUACUGGCCGUAUAUGAUGUCGGGUCCGUCAAUCCCCGGACCGGGUCAAUAGAAUAGCAAUAAUCCCCGAAUCGGGUCAAUAGCAUAAACCUCUAAUAUAUUUGAGUACAUUCCUGAGCAAACUUCAAUUCGUCUUCGUUAGUAUAAACGAGCCGAAGGACUUCCCUCGGUCCUCUGGAUUGGGAUCGGCGGCGGAGGACGCGGGAGAGAGAGAGCGCUGCCGCGACCCCACGGCCGCUGGAGCGGAAGGAGGUGCGGUUCGGGGGAAGGUGGGGAUGUUGGAUGCUCGAUCUGGGUCAUCCUUGGGUCGAGGAUGGUUAGACCAUAGUCCACAGAGUCCAAGCUAGUACAGGCGCGGUGGCGGGUGGGGGAGGCAGGACGACGGCUAGCGGAGAAGCAGCGGCUACUGGUGGCGCCGGUUGUGCGGCAGGGACUGGCCCGGCCAGAGGACGCGGCGGACCUGCGGUGGGCGCGGGCGGGGCGGCACGAGUGGGGCUUCCUCUACUGCCGCCGCGAGGCGCUGGACUGAGUCCGCCAGGUCCCGUAGGCGUGGAAGGAGCGCUCCGUGAUACCCGACGUCGGCGGGUGGGAGCAGUGGUGGUAGUGCCCCGACGUCGUCGAGGGCACCUUCGGCGGUGGUGGCCGCUGGAGGCAGCGUAGGUAGUACGGCGACGGCGGCGGCGGUGGCCACUAGAGCCCCGGCCCGGAAGGCAGCUGCCGCGGGCCCCACGGGUAGGUUGUCCAGGCAAAAGGGGGCAGCGGUAGAGGCGAUGGCCGGACCGAGCGGCCCAGGUAGCUCGGUGAGAUGUGCUAUUGGAGUCCUGUCGGCGUACACGACAAUGGCUGCCGCGUCGGGGGCUGGCACGUCAAGCCGCCCAGGAGCCCACGACGCCCAGGGAUGCUAUCACACCUGCCCGGGGAAAAGGCACCGUCAUGAGACGUCGGCCGUGAGCCGCGCAGCGGGAGCGACAAGGCGCGCCUACUGUGUAUGGGCGGGCAGCAGGUGCGGGUCGGUGGCGGCUCUAAGAGGUUCGACCUCAAGUGCUGGAUGCUGCCGUGGCAGCUGGGGGACUUAACCGAGUUGGUUACGCUGGUUAAAAAGUCCCCCGUCGCGUGCGAACGCAGGCUGGCGUGGACCUAGCGGAGUAUAGUAGAUGCUCCGCGGCGGGUCUGCACCAUAAUGCGGGAGCUCGUCCUGCUCCCGCCGUACGGUGGUACACUUGCAAAGGCACUAGACACGGAGAACGCGAAGCCAGGCGGAUAUGCGCCCUCGGCAAACCGCCUCGAACCCGCGGAAAACAAGGAGUGGUGUCACGUUUUGAAGCGGCUGGCGAAGGUCCGUGACACCGAGCAGUCGCCCGACUCGAGAAGCAGCCGCCGGAUGGCCUGGUGUAGGUGCACCUGCACCUCUACGCGCCCGGUGUGCUGGAGGUCUACCGGUACAUGAUGCGGGCGCGCAAGCUCGCGACGCGCCACCGGUAGGUUGUCCGUAGUGGCGGGGCCCGGCGACCCGGCGGUGGGACCGGCCUUCAAGGGCGCGUUCCAGCCGGACGAGUCCGAAAGCGCCACGGGGAGCGGCGCUGGCGCCGCGCGGGUAAGGCGGCCGAGUGGGACCGGCUCGUUGAGCUCGCAGCGGCGGUUCCCGACACGAAGUUGACGCUGCUCGGGAUGCACGGGCCGGUGCAGACGGGCGCUGAGAAGAUGGACCUCCGACGCCUGAUGUAGCUCCUCCUGUGGCGGCGGCGGCUCGAGCCGCUGGACGGGUGGGGUCAACUGCGCCUCCUCCACAAACCGCGGGCAACUAGUGGAGCUCCUCAAAGCGUUCGCGAAGGGGCGGAAGGUCGAGCUCCUGCUCGACAAACACGUCCGCCCCUCUCUACAAUACUGGCCGUAUAUGAUGUCGGAUCCGUCAAUCCCCGGAUCGGGUCAUUAGAAUAGCAAUAAUCCCCGAAUCGGGUCAAUAGCAUAAACCUCUAAUAUAUUUGAGUACAUUCGUGAGCAAACUUCAAUUCGUCUUCGUUAGUAUAAACGAGCCGAAGGAUUCCCUCGGUCCUCUGGAUUGGGAUCGGCGGCGGAGGACGCGGUAGAGGGAGAGCGCUGCCGCGGGGUCGCAGCCGCUGGAGCGGAAGGAGGUGCGGUUCGGGGGAAGGUGGGGAUGUUGGAUGCUCGAUCUGGGUCAUCCUUGGGUCGAGGAUGGUUAUAAGGAAACUGUAAAGUAUAUCUGGAUAGACUCGGUUAUAAGAUUCGGAGUAUGGUAAGCUAAUUAAUCUGUUAUAUAAACAGCAUUCAGCAUUAACAGGACGAACUAAUGAUUAAAGUCUAAACAAGAAGGAAUGACACCCCCCGUAUAGAUAUAAGAUUCUUUGUAACCACAUGUACCAUCAAUAAAGAACUGUACCGAUAAUACAGAUCUAAAACCAAGAUACCAUGUAUUGUUUAAUCGAAGAACCAGAUGUAUUGAUUGAACGGCUCCCAAAACCGACACCUACAGCAAAUUCCACAUACGACGUUAGUAACACUCGUAACACAGAUGAUUGUAACAGUUCUCCCGAACGACUAAUGACCAACAAACUCGGUGGUCGCCGGACUCGAUAAGAGAAAACACGAUGACCUAUGAGUAAAUAGAUGUUUCUAUCACGAGCUCUCAUUUCUAGAGUCUCUAAAAUAAAGGGUAACGGAGACAGACUCGUCACUCAUCAGGAGAAGUGGAACCGGUUAAGACAUGACUAUAUCUCGUUCUAGAGACCUGCAUAGUUGACUUAAUGUAAGUGGACCUAUGAGAAGAUGGAGCGUCCACAUAGUUUAAAACGUGAGACCGUCAGAACUUUGGGGAGGAUGAAAAUUUACCUUUUUCUUUUAGAACGACAGUUUCGUUCGUAGUUAAAAAAAAAGACCGGUGUUGAUUCUGUUUAGGUUCUCGUGAGAAUGAGUGCACAGUACACACCAGAAGUCUGUUAACCUUGUUCCCUAGUGGAGACAAAGUUAACCAUCAAACGUUUCAGCAGGAUUAAUACGGAACCGUAAUUAGACCCUGUACGAAAAAAAUAACAAAAACUCCCUGACGAAAAAACCUAUUAUAAAGUUUGAGAAUCCGUUCGCUAGUCAUUAGAAAAAAAAUACCUCUACUAGUGAGUGACAAAAAAGGAACGAUACGAACGUUAUCCUUUUGGUGGAUGAAAAAAGAGGUUUUUAUUUCGUUUUUGAUGCCUACCUACCUAGACAGUCAGUGACUAACCCAAAGAUGUUGUAUUUGUUCACUUUAAACGACGAAAGUACGUUGCCUAGAACACACGAGAUUCUUCAAGUUCAACCUUUUUUUAUCUUGGUAUAACGAAAGAAGACACCAUCUACGUCUUACCUUCUCGUCCUCACUUUAACGUUAGUCUUCGAACCUUUUAAGUUGUUCUAAGACUCGUCCGUAGUAGUUUGCCACCUUUAGAGAAGAGAGGGUUGUUUGUUUAUUUUUGUGUGCGUGCGGGUCGAGCGAGAGUUUAGGUCAUGGUGGAUAAGAGAGGAGCCUUAUUAUUUAUUAUAUCUACAUCCGUGCUCAAAGACGUGCCCGCCGCACGGCGCGUAGGCGGACGAUCAUUAUGGAUAUUCGCCGAUUCGAUCUGACGAAUUAUGCUCCUCUAGAUAGAUUGGUUGUCGCAUGUUGUAAACUUUGUUGCGGCUAGUUACAACGAAGGAGGGUUGCUUUCUUUUAGAUUCCUUACGAUUUCUUUUCCAUUGUGACCCGUAGGUUCGACAACUAAACUAGGAUGAUACCUUGACCAUCGUUCUUUCUCUCCCGAACCUCCUCCUGGAACCUACCCAGCAGCUAGAAGACCUUCAAGAACUGCUGGAACUACCACGCGAGCCACUGGAGCAGGAACAGGUCCUUGCUGGGGAACCGCAGGAGACUGCUGUAGGUGGCGGCGGGGCUGUCCCGGGGGACGUCGCGGCGACGGCCGGACUCCCGGUGGCUGCUGCGCCCCCUGCGCCGGUUCGCCUCCACGGCAUCGUGGUCCAAGGAGCGGCGGCGGCGGUAAACCCACCCUACCCACGAAUCGAGGCCCUCCCCCCGUCUCCCCUAGCCUCCUUCGCA
rnacentral:rRNA from 1 species